rnacentral:tRNA from 1 species
GUGGCUGUAGCUCAGUGGCAGAGCGCUUGCCUAGCAUGUGGGAGGCACUGGGUUCCAUCCUCAGCACCACA